UGGGUGGGUGGUAGUAAUGCAGUAAUGCUGUGUGAGUGUUUAUGACAGAUGCAUGCAAAUCCCUUUGGUUGUUGUAGAAUGAACGCAGUUAUUUACUACGAUGAAAUGAAAUUAAUUACGAAGAAGAUAGUCUUCAAUUGAAACAGAAACAACAAUGCUACGCGUCACUCACAUUGCGCAACACAACCUACUUUUUCUCAAGGUUUUCU
rnacentral:lncRNA from 1 species